UACAGAGGUGGCAAGCGUUGUUCGGAAUUACUGGGCGUAAAGGGCGCGUAGGCGGUCUUGCAAGUCCUGUGUGAAAUCCCUCGGCUCAACUGAGGAACUGCACAGGAAACUGCUUGGCUUGAGUUCGGGAGAGGGAAGCGGAAUUCCGGGUGUAGCGGUGAAAUGCGUAGAUAUCGGGAGGAACACCAGUGGCGAAGGCGGCUUCCUGGCCUGUUCUUGACGCUGAGGCGCGAAAGCUAGGGGAGCAAACGGG
rnacentral:rRNA from 1 species